GCAUAGCGGUAUCCUGAGUAACGCGGGACACGAGGAAUCCUGCGCGAAUCUGCCGGGACCAUCCGGUAAGGCUAAAUACUCCCGUGAGACCGAUAGCGAACGAGUACUGUGAAGGAAAGGUGAAAAGAACCCCGAGCAGGGGAGUGAAAUAGUUCCUGAAACCAUACGCCUACAAGCGGUCGGAGCAUCUUACGAUGUGACGGCGUGCCUUUUGCAUAAUGAUCCUACGAGUUACCGUCACUGGCGAGGUUGAGUGUCAUGAGACACGUAGCCGCAGUGAAAGCGAGCCUGAACAGGGCGCAUAGUCAGUGGGGGUAGACGCGAAACCAAGUGAUCUACACUUGGCCAGGAUGAAGUCCCGGUAACACGGGAUGGAGGUCCGCACCAAUAAGCGUUGAAAAGCUUCUGGAUGAGCCGAGUGUAGGAGUGAAAGGCCAAUCAAACUUGGAGAUAGCUCGUACUCCCCGAAAGGCAUUUAGGUGCCGCGUCGGAUGGUCACCGUGAGAGGUAGAGCGACCGAUAGGACAAGAGGGCUUCACCGCCUAUCGAGUCCUGACGAACUCCGAAUGCUCACGGUCUGCAGUCCGGCAGUAAGGGGGCGGGUGCUAAGGUCCGUCCCCGAGAGGAGAAGAAUCCAGACCGCCGUCUAAGGUCCCGGAGUUCUGCCUGAGUUAGUCUAACGAAGUCUGGUCCCUAUGACAGCUAGGAUGUUGGCUUGGAAGCAGCCAUUCAUUCAAAGAGUGCGUAACAGCUCACUAGUCGAGGGUCCGGGCAUGGAUAAUAAUCGGGUAUAAGGCAGACACCGAAGGCGCGGGAUAGCAUUUAAGAAAGUAUCGGUAGGGGAGCAUACUCACAGCGUGGAAUGGUGUACGUAAGUUAUCCUGGAGCGGUGAGUAAAGCAAAUGUAGGAAUAAGUAACGAUAAGGAGGGUUAGAUUCCCUCCCGCUGUAAGACCAAGGUUUCCCGGGCAAUGCCAAUCAGCCCGGGGUCAGUCGGGUCCUAAGUCUAAGCCGAACGGCGAUGGCGAUGGCAGAGACGGUUAAUAUUCCGUCACUGCCGCAUGGGGCGACGUGGAGACGGAGCAGUGAAACCACCGCGGGGCGACGGAAGUCCCCGUUGAAGAGUGUAGGUGUUGAGGAUGGCAGGCAAAUCCACCGUCCGAGCUGAACUUGAUAGUAUGGAGUCUUCUUCGGAAGAAUCCAAUAGUGUGGGUAAUCAUACUCCCGAGAAAAUCCGCUAAGCUUAACCCAUGCGGCACCCGUACCGCAAACGGACACACGUGGUCGGGUAGAACAUACUAAGGCGUUGAGAGAUUCAUGGUUAAGGAACUAGGCAAAUUGACCCUGUAACUUCGGGAUAAAGGGUCCUCGUGAUGAGCGAGGCGCAGAGAAUAGGUCCAGGCAACUGUUUAACAAAAACACAGGGCUGUGCAAACUCGAAAGAUGACGUAUACAGCCUGACACCUGCCCGGUGCCGGAAGGUUAAGAGGAGAUGUCAC
rnacentral:rRNA from 1 species